AGCAGCCGCGGUAAUUCCAGCUCCAAUAGCGUAUAUUAAAGUUGCUGCAGUUAAAAAGCUCGUAGUUGAAUUUCGGGACUAAUAUGUCGGUCGUGCCUCGGUACGUACUGGUUUAUUGGUUUCUCCUUUCUGAAGAACCAUGAUGUCAUUUAUUUGGUGUCGUGGGGAAUCAGGACUGUUACUUUGAAAAAUUAGAGUGUUUAAAGCAGGCUCACGCUUGAAUACAUUAGCAUGGAAUAAUGAAAUAGGACGUUUGAUUCUAUUUUGUUGGUUUCUAGGAUCGACGUAAUGAUUAAUAGGGAUAGUUGGGGGCAUUAGUAUUCAAUUGUCAGAGGUGAAAUUCUUGGAUUUAUUGAAGACUAACUACUGCGAAAGCAUUUGCCAAGGAUGUUUUCAUUAAUCAAGAACGAAAGUUAGGGGAUCGAAGACGAUCAGAUACCGUCGUAGUCUUAACCAUAAACUAUGCCGACUAGGGAUCGGAUGAUGUUAAUUUUUAAUGACUCAUUCGGCGCCUUACGGU
rnacentral:misc_RNA from 1 species